CCCAGUCACUACUUGUUUUCUAGCUGGACCUAUCCACCUCUACAUCUGAAUGGACUAUACUCACACAUUCAUAACAAUUAAAAUUGAGCUUGCUUUUAAAUAAAACCAGAAUCUAAUGCGCAAUUCUAGUUCAACAAUUAAUUACAUAAUUUGCAAGAUAAACAAAGCAUACAUCUAUAACAUAAUUUAUAAAAGAAACCUUUUACAACUGAACCAAACUUUUCAGGCUUAUGGCCCAGGCCUAAUGGCCUAAGCCCAGAUUCAUUCGGAGGUAGUUUUUCCAUCUAGGCUUACUUACAACUUCAGCCCAUUUGAAUUAGAGGAUAGCCUUAGAGCUUAGGCUCAUAGCCUGGCCCGUUCCACUAUGCUUAUGAUAAUGUAAUGACAAAAAUGAAUAUACUCCUAAAGCAGUUGUUCUGAUCCUUAAUACAUGACAUUAGAACCUAAUUCAUUACAACACUCCAAAUAAAAAAAGAAAAGUUUUCCAGAAAUCUAAAGCAUGUCACAUUAGAACCUACUGGUACAUGAACUACUAUGUUAACAAACUACUCUAUUACAACUUUGGUAACCUAACGAAUCCCUGCCUCUUUUUUAGACAUGAUUCGUCCAUCACAAGCUGGUCUUCCUCACGAAAAAGCAUCAGAUUCAGCAUACCGCAUAGUAGGAUUCCAACUUUCAGCUUCUGAGCCUGCUGGUUUGGCCAACUAGUGACCAAAUCUGCAGGAAACAGCUCAUGGUCAAUGGACAGAACCAAAUAAUCUUAAGUAAAUAGCAGACCAUCCACUCAGAUAGAAGAAAGAUGAGAAGACAUGACUAAAUUUCAUGGUCAGCAUUAACAAACAAAAUGUUUGGCUAAGGACACAUCAGUGUUUGGAAAAGCGAUCGCUUUAAGCGCGAAGCGACAAGGCAUCGCUUUCCCAGAGAGAGGCGACUC
rnacentral:lncRNA from 1 species